rnacentral:rRNA from 1 species
CAGCCGCCGCGGGAAUACGAAGGGUGCAAGCGUUACUCGGAAUUACCGGGCGUAAAGCGUGCGUAGGUGGUGGUUUAAGUCCGUUGUGAAAGCCCUGGGCUCAACCUGGGAAUUGCAGUGGAUACUGGGUCACUAGAGUGUGGUAGAGGAUAGUGGAAUUUCCGGUGUAGCAGUGAAAUGCGUAGAGAUCGGAAGGAACAUCUGUGGCGAAGGCGGCCAUCUGGGACAACACUGACGCUGAGGCACGAAAGCGUGGGGAGCAAACAGGAUUAGAUACCCCCGUAGUCCCUGUCUCUUAUAC